UGGGGAAUAUUGCACAAUGGGGGAAACCCUGAUGCAGCGACGCCGCGUGAACGAAGAAGGUACUCGUAUCGUAAAGUUCUGUCCUAUGGGAAGAUAAUGACAGUACCAUAGAAGAAAGCUCCGGCUAAAUACGUGCCAGCAGCCGCGGUAAUACGUAUGGAGCGAGCGUUGUCCGGAAUUAUUGGGCGUAAAGGGUACGCAGGCGGUUUAAUAAGUCGAAUGUUAAAGAUCGGGGCUCAACCCCGCAAAGCAUUGGAAACUGAUAAACUUGAGUAGUGGAGAGGAAAGUGGAAUUCCUAGUGUAGUGUGAAAUACGUAGAUAUUAGGAGGAAUACCAGUAGCGAAGGCGACUGUCUGGACACAAACUGACGCUGAGGUACGAAAGCGUGGGGAGCAAACAGG
rnacentral:rRNA from 1 species